UACGUAGGGUGCAAGCGUUAAUCGGAAUUACUGGGCGUAAAGCGUGCGCAGGCGGUUCGGAAAGAGAGGUGUGAAAUCCCAGGGCUUAACCUUGGAACUGCACUUCUAACUACCGGGCUAGAGUACGUCAGAGGGGGGUAGAAUUCCACGUGUAGCAGUGAAAUGCGUAGAGAUGUGGAGGAAUACCGGUGGCGAAGGCAGCCCCCUGGGAUGAUACUGACGCUCAUGCACGAAAGCGUGGGGAGCAAACAGG
rnacentral:rRNA from 1 species